UGGUGAAUAUUGCACAAUGGGCGAAAGCCUGAUGCAGCGAUGCCGCGUGAGGGAUGACGGCCUUCGGGUUGUAAACCUCUUUCAGCAGGGACGAAGCGCAAGUGACGGUACCUGCAGAAGAAGCACCGGCUAACUACGUGCCAGCAGCCGCGGUAAUACGUAGGGUGCAAGCGUUGUCCGGAAUUACUGGGCGUAAAGAGUUCGUAGGCGGUUUGUCGCGUCGUUUGUGAAAACCAGCAGCUCAACUGCUGGCUUGCAGGCGAUACGGGCAGACUAGAGUACUGCAGGGGAGACUGGAAUUCCUGGUGUAGCGGUGAAAUGCGCAGAUAUCAGGAGGAACACCGGUGGCGAAGGCGGGUCUCUGGGCAGUAACUGACGCUGAGGAACGAAAGCGUGGGUAGCGAACAGG
rnacentral:rRNA from 1 species